rnacentral:lncRNA from 1 species
AUGUUGAGGGCGUGUGGUAGUGAGGGCGUAUUGAUUUGCGUGGUAGUGAGGGCGAGCAGUGGCUUCACUACCAGUCAGUUGUCCACCUUCACAGGGCCUGAGUCAGGGUUCGAUGGUUCCUCCGUGCUGGGCUCUACCCAGGGGUCAACAGGCUCUACCCAGGGGUCAACAGGCUCUGCCCUGGGGUCAACAGGCUCUGCCCUGAGGUCAACAAACUCUACCCUGGGGUCAACAGACUCUACCCUGGGGUCAACAGACUCUGCCCUGGGGUCAACAGGCUCUACCCUGGGGUCAACAGGCUCUGCCCUGGGGUCAACAGGCUCUACCCUGGGGUCAACAGGCUCUGCCCUGGGGUCAACAGGCUCUGCCCUGGGGUCAACUAACUCUACCCUGGGGUCAACAGGCUCUGCCCUGGGGUCAACUAACUCUACCCUGGGGUCAACAGACUCUACCCUGGGGUCAACAAACUCUACCCUGGGGUCAACAGACUCUGCCCUGGGGUCAACAGGCUCUACCCUGGGGUCAACAGGCUCUACCCUGGGGUCAACAGGCUCUGCCCUGGGGUCAACAGGCUCUGCCCUGGGGUCAACAAACUCUGCCCUGGGGUCAACAGGCUCUGCCCUGGGGUUAACAAACUCUGCCCUGGGGUCAACAGGCUCUGCCCUGGGGUUAACAGGCUCUGCCCUGGGGUCAACAGGCUCUGCCCUGGGGUCAACAGACUCUGCCCUGGGGUCAACAGACUCUACCCUGGGGUCAACAGGCUCUGCCCUGGGGUCAACAGGCUCUGCCCUGGGGUCAACAGGAUCUGAUGGAGACCACACUCCUCUCACUCCACUGUCCUCCUCCUCUCCAUUCACUAUCUUCUCCCACUGGCCAAGGUUCUCCCUGUGGAAACACAAUCAUACUAUGGUCAAACGGCCAGUAGGAAGAGUGUGUGUGUGUGCUCGUGUUCACGUGAGGUAUGUUUUAUUAGUGAACACACUGUACGUUCAUUACUCUCCUCCUGCGAUGCUUCUGCCUAACCCACCGGCU